rnacentral:lncRNA from 1 species
CUGAAAAUUAUACAAGAGAAAGCUCUUGGGGAGAAGAAGUUUUUCGGUGGUGAUACCAUUAAUUUAGUGGACAUCUCCUACGGAGUGCUGGCCUAUUGGCUCAAGAUCAUGCAAGAAAUAAUUGGCGUUAAGGUGCUGGAACCAAACACCUUGCCUCGACUGCAUGAAUGGGCUUAAAAUUUCAUGGAAGUUGCUGUCAUCAAAGAAACAAUCCCUGAUCGUGAUAAAGUGUUGGCUCAUAUGAGAGGCGUGAGGGAGAAGAUUGUUGCUGAACAGUUUAACAAAUAGCAUAAAAAGGCUUCACACUAGCUAGCCUUCUGGAAAAUUGAUUGUCCUAAACUUGGCAGCUUGGGAUGCUUAUAUAAAGCUAUAUAUAUAUAUAUAUAUGUAAUCUGCUUAGUUAUGCUAUGUUGUAUUAAUUAAGCAUCAAAUAAUUGAAUUCUAUUGUAUAAAAGCAGAACUUUUUUUGGUUUUAUGGGAGGAUUAAUUUUACAAGCCCAUGAUGAUCAGGAAAGAAAUGGGUAUUUUUGGAAUUUAAGAAAGGGAGGCCAUGAAAGCUGGGAAUUUUAAGCUGGUUCUGUUUCGUUAGAACAAAGAGAGACAGAGCGAGAGAGAAAUUUUGAGAAAAAUAAGGAGGACCAAAUUAAAGAAUUUUUUUUUUCUUCUAAAUAAUUAUGGCGGUUUUACUUGCUAUUAUGCCACGUUAGGGCACCGGUUAAGAAAAUGACAAAUGUCAUAAUGAUUAAUACUAGUUAAUUUUUUAAUUUUUUUAUUAAGUGUUUUGUAACUUAUUUGAUUUUAAAUAAUAAUAUAAAAAUUUAUUAAAAAUAAAUAAAAAUAUAAGACUUGUUUGUAUUUUUUUUUCAGUGGAGAAGUUAUAAUAUUAAAUUGGAAUCAUCAUAAGAAAACAUAUUCCCAUCAUAUCAUAUAAUAAUAAAUUUUUAACUCCCACUAGAGGAGUAUUAUGAGCAACAUAAGAAACAUCAAAUAAUUAAAUAAAAAAUUAAAAACAGAUUUGAUUUUUGACAUAAUAAUCAAAUAAGCUCAUAAAUUAUUUUAAAAAAUUAAAUAAGCCUUUAUUCUUUUAUUGUAUUCAAUCAAAACUUUGUAUUUUUAUUUUUUAUCAAAUAAGUUUUUAUAACAAAUGAUUAACUAAUUAUCAUUAGUUAAAAUACUUAUUAUCAUUCUAUAACCACAUACCAUUAACAUGGCAUUGAUGCAAAUAGUAAAAAAUAUCAUAUGAACAUGUUAUUAUAUCAAAUUAGUAUGUCACGCCAUCAUCAAUUUUAAUAUAUCAGUAUGUCACACCAUUAUCAAUUAUGAUAUGUUAACAUGAUACAUCAGCACCACGCGAUAUAAAAUAAUAAGUGACAUUUUGACUAAGUUAAUUAUUAGUCAUAAAAGUUUAUUUGACUCAAAAUAAAAAUAUAAUGACUUAUUAGGCUUCAAAUAAAAGUAUAAAAACUUAAUUGAAUGUAAUAAAAAUAUAAAAACUUAUUUGAAUUUUACUAAAUAGUUUAAGGACUUUUUUAAAUAUCAUACCUUAGAUUAUUUUUUUUAUAAUUUAAAAACUUUUUCAAAUAUUAUGAUCUUUGUCUUAAAAGUGAAAUUGAUCCUACAUUAUCUAGUUCAUGUUUUCCAUAUAUCCUCACUAUAAACUAAUUAAAUCAUGAACUCUUCAAAUUAGGGCCUAAGACAUCAUAUCAAAUUUCAAGCACAUCCUAGCUAUUUUCCCACUACAAACAUCUUGCCCAAGAUGUAUAAAUUGGUGGUAUAUAUUGUUUUGAAUUAUACGUCUAUUAUAGAACAUAUGAUAAAAUAUGUGACAGAAUACGUUGUAAAUAGUUGACUUACAAAUGAUGUGGCUGAAUGCAUGACAACUGAUGCGUUAGAUAAGUUGUCAUAAUAGAAGAUGUCAAUACACAAACAAUCAACACUGUGGUAGAAAGCAUCAACAUGGGUGGGGUGUGUGAAAUAGAGAUUUUUAAUAUUUGGGGGCUUUGAUAUCAUGUUAUGAACAAAUUUAUCAUAAAGAUGAAAAUAGUGUGUGUUAUGUGUAUAUGUGUAUAUGUAAAAUGUGUCAAUACAUGGACAAUUGGUGUUGUGAUAAAACAUAUCAAUAUGGUGGGAUGCGUGAAACAGAAAUUGUUGAUGUCCAAGGUGACUUUGAUAUGAUAUUACCAAAAGAUUUGUUAUAAAGGUGAAUAAAGUAUAGUCUAACUGUAUCAUUAUCUUUAACAGUUGAUAUUGAUUAAAAGAGAGUGAAGGAAAAAUAAAACUUUGGUGAGACCAUCCGGUCCAAAAUAUUGUGGAUUGAGAAAAUAUAGGCUAGAUUAGGCUAGUUAUUUUUUACAUGAGAAUUAGUUCUAAAACAGCAAAAAUCAUAAAGAGACAAACAGGAACAUGAUGAAACUUCUUACCAGCAUGACAGGGUGGCAUGCACAAUCAAAAGCAGGUUUGAUUACCAAAUAUCAUUUGUUUAUUUCGAUAAUUAAAUAUUGAGAUUAAGGGGCAGUUGGUAUAUAAAUAAUUAAAUAAGGCAAUAGUCCAUUUGAACUUUGUUUUAUUCAUUCCAAGAGGCAGGAUAUCGAAAUUUUCAUGCAAAGGUAUAUUAUAAAACAAUAUUCUUUAUCUUGAAAGUCAUAUUAGUACUGCAUUUUCUAGUUCAUGUUUUCCUUACACUGUAAAUUAAUCAGAAUCAUCAACUCUUCAAAUUAGGGCCUACAAUAUUACAUCAAAUUUAAACCUGACCUUGAUUUCGUCAAAUUCCCAGAUAUUUCCUCAUAGAAAACAUGUGGCCUAGGAGGUAUUCUAUUGGUAUACAAAUGAAGGGUCACUUUUAUGGUUAUUAAUUUCUAAAUUGAAACUUAUUGUCCAAGGAUUUGAUCCAUUAUAUUGACUUUGGCCUGGCAACAACCUUUGCAUCUUGAGCUCAUCAAAGAAAUGGCAGAAGUGAAGCUACAUGGAUCCUGGGCUAGUCCUUUUAGCCAUAGAGUGAUUUGGGCAUUGAAAAUCAAAGGUGUAAACUAUGAAUACAUAGAGGAAGACCUUUCUAACAAGAGCGAACUGCUGUUGAAAUACAAUCCUGUUUACAAGAAGAUCCCUGUCCUUGUCCACGGCGGCAAGCCGAUUGCUGAGUCCCUCGUCAUCCUUGAAUACAUCGAAGAAACCUGGCCGGAGAAUCCAUUUCUCCCAAGUGAUCCUUAUGAGAGAGCAAUGGCUCGAUUUUGGAUUCAAUUCGUAGAAGACAAGGUGAUUUUGACUCUUUCAUUAUCUCUAUUGAGGCAUUGACCUAUCAUUCUUUUCUUUUAUGUUCUUGUUAAGAAUUAUCAAACUUUACAAUGAUCCUAGGGUCCGAUUUUCCGUGCAUUUUUUCUAUCAACCGGUAGAGAGGAGCAAGAGAAAGCAGCAAAGGAACUGUUGGAAGUGCUGAAAAUUAUAGAAGAGAAAGCUCUUGGGGACAAGAAGUUUUUCGGUGGUGAUACCAUUAAUUUAGUGGACAUCUCCUACGGAGUGCUGGCCUAUUGGUUCAAGAACGUGGAAGAAGUAAUUGGCAUCAUGGUGCUGGAACCAAACACCUUGCCUCGACUGCAUGAAUGGGCUCAAAAUUUCAUGGAAGUUGCUGUCAUCAAAGAAACAAUCCCUGAUCGUGAUAAAAUGCUGGCUUAUUUGAGACGCGUGAGGGAGAAGAUUGUUGCUGAACAGUCUAACAAAUAGCAUAAAAAAGCUUAUCAGUUUAAUAUCUGAUACGUGGGCCAUUGGUCCACGUGAUAUUAAAUUAAUUUUUUUAGGGGGAGAGCCCAUAGGAAAAACAAAAAUAGCAUAAAAAAGCUUCAUACUAGCUAGCCUUCUGGAAAAUUGACUUUCCUAAACUUGGCAGCUUGGGAUGCUUAUCUAAAGCUAUAUAUAUAUCUAAUCUACUUAGUUAUGCUAUGUUGUAUUAAUUAAGCAUCAAA